GCCCCUACAGUCUGUUAAGGCUCUACGGGGAAUCUUUGUCUUUGUAUGUGUAAUGUAACAAUGUAGGUUAUUUCCGAAUACUGUUGUGAGACUUUUGACACGACAUUUCGUGGACACAGCCCGAGUGUGAGUGACCUACAGCUGCCCUGUUUUACACGAAUGAAUGUGCUGCUCGGUCUAAUCGCUGAAUAGAUUUAGCCUCGAGUCAGGAUUCACAAAGUCGAAACAACUUUGACAAAGUUAAGCCUGCAGUUGACAGAGGAUGUGUGUGCUGUGUGUGUGGUCCCUUGAGCAAGACGCCGUUUGUUAAAGCGGUGACUUUCUCCGACGCGAUACGCGAAGUUGUAGGUCAUGAGAUGAGAUACACAAUUAGACCGCCGAGAUGAGAUACACAAUUAGACCGCCGAGAUGAGAUACACAAUUAGACCGCUGAGAUGAGAUACACAAUUAGACUGGAGAUGAGAUACACAAUUAAACUGGAGAUGAGAUACACAAUUAGACCGCCGAGAUGAGAUACACAAUUAGACCACUGAGAUGAGAUACACAAUUAGACUGGAGAUGAGAUACACAAUUAGACUGGAGAUGAGAUACACAAUUAGACUGGAGAUGAGA